rnacentral:ribozyme from 1 species
AGAAAAGGGGGCAGGCCUGACGAAGCCGUUCCGGUUUGAAUGCAAAGAAACCAACCUCCAAAACUGUAAUUUAUUGUUUUCCUUUGUUUUUAAAAAAAAAAAAAAAAAAAAAAAA